AAUAUUUCGUUUUUUAAUAUUAAAAUAUGGAAUAUUUCGUUUUUUAAUUUUUAUAAAAAGUUAAGAUAGAUAUUAAAAUAUCUUACGAAUAUUUGUAUCAAGAAAUUUUCCAAUUUUAAAAAAUAAAUUUUUAGAGAUAAUUAUGACAGUGUGCCCUAGAUUUUAAGCUAUAAAUAUAGAGCCGCAGCCACACCAUUAGAACUCAGAUUCGUUAGCCUAAACAUAUCGUUUUGAUAUUAUAGCUUUUUUUUUUGUUGCUUUGGUUCUUUUAUGGAUCGAUUUUUUUAUUUUGCGUUAUUAUUUUUUACUUUUUCUUGAGGUUAUAUUUGUAUUGUUAUUAUCUUGGUCUAUGAAUUAUUAAGAUUGUUAUUGUUUUGCUGAUUUGUAUCGUGUGAAUUAUGUUUUAGGUAACCGCUCAUGGGAGUUUCUAUCAAGAGAUUGAAUGAACGAGUUGAUGAAGACAUGCCUCUUCAUUAAAUUCAUUAACAAACUUUUUACAUCAAUCGCGGAGCAUUGCGCUGAUGCGGAAGUGAUUUACAAGUUUUUGGAGGUCAAUGAGAUUGAUAAGCUCGGGAAAAACAGAGUUCUCUAAAACGAUAUCGGUCGAGAUUGCAUAGGUAUGUCUAUCGUGAUGAAAUUGUUAAAUAGAUACUGGGCUUCUAAGCAAUUCUAUCACUUUGAAUCCUUGUAAUCGUGAGAGAAAAGUUUAGGGUUUGAUUGUUUCAGUUUUGAUUAGUGAAUUGAAAGAUGCCGCAAUUUCCACAUAUGAUUUUUACGUUCAAUCAUAAUUUGGAUGUGUGGAAAUUAAUACUUGAAUCGAUGGAGAGAAGAUUACAACUGACGUGUGAGUUAAUUUGUGUAUUUUAUGGUACAUGUUUUCGUCAUGGAUCAAAAAGUUCAAUCCCAUCUUUAUAGGAGUUAGGCUUUCAUCUAACCUCUUUUAUAUUUGAUAGAUUGUUUGUUGUGUUAUUUUUUUAAUUUUAGAUUCAAAUAUAUAUUUUUUAAUUUCAGUUUUAGGCGACUAAAGGAUUGAAUAUGCUAUGAAUAUGUAAUUUUAUAUUCUUUUGUUUAUUUAAUUGCCAUUAACCUAUUUUGACUUUAAUUUAUAUGUUUUAUUAUGAGAGAUAGGAAAAAUAGCUAUCCUAUUUUGACUUUAAUUUAUAUGUUUUAUUAUGAGAGAUAGGAAAAAUAGCUGAUCAGUGAUUUUUGGUUGUCGGAGACUUUGAUCCGAAUGAGCGACGGUGAUGAAAAUAUGAGUGGUGGAUAGAGACGCAAGGGAUCGGUGAAGUUGUUUAAUACACACAAGGGGUUUGGUUUCAUCACACCAGACGACGGUGGUGAGUGGUGACGAUCUCUUCGUUCACCAGUCCAUUAGCUCUGAAAAAUUUCGUAGCCUUGCCGUUGAUGAAGCUGUUGAGUUCAAGGUUGAGGUUGACAACGCCAGUCGUCUGAAGACUGUUGAAGUUUCUGGACCCGAGGGUGCUCCUGUUCAGUGAAAUAACGGCGGUUCAUCUGGUGGAUGUGGUGGUUUUGGCUGUGGAGGU